rnacentral:rRNA from 1 species
GACGAACGCUGGCGGCGUGCUUAACACAUGCAAGUCGAACGGAAAGGCCCUGCUUUUGUGGGGUGCUCGAGUGGCGAACGGGUGAGUAACACGUGAGUAACCUGCCCUUGACUUUGGGAUAACUUCAGGAAACUGGGGCUAAUACCGGAUAGGAGCUCCUGCUGCAUGGUGGGGGUUGGAAGGUUUCGGCGGUUGGGGAUGGACUCGCGGCUUAUCAGCUUGUUGGUGGGGUAGUGGCUUACCAAGGCUUUGCCGGGUAGCCGGCCUGAGAGGGUGACCGGCCACAUUGGGACUGAGAUACGGCCCAGACUCCUACGGGAGGCAGCAGUGGGGAAUAUUGCACAAUGGGCGGAAGCCUGAUGCAGCAACGCCGCGUGCGGGAUGACGGCCUUCGGGUUGUAAACCGCUUUCGCCUGUGACGAAGCGUGAGUGACGGUAAUGGGUAAAGAAGCACCGGCUAACUACGUG